rnacentral:tRNA from 1 species
GGGCACGUAGUUCAGAGGAUCAGAACAGCGCUCUUCUAAAGCGUAGGUCGAUGGUUCGAAUCCAUCCGUGCCCG